rnacentral:lncRNA from 1 species
GGGGGAACCAAACUUCAAACUUAGGAAGCCUGGCUCCAGACUCCGUAUCUGUCACCACUACAUUCCUGCUCCCUAGUAAAUAAAUCUCCCAGCAGAGCACAGUAAACAAAGUUAGUAGUCAAUAAAGACUGCUCUUCUCUCUCCCUUCUCUCCCCAGUUUAUAAGUAAAGGAACUAAAAGAAAAAAUUGAGCAACCUGCCAGAGAUCAAACUAGGGAGAGGAAAGCUGGACUCAAACCAGACUUCUAUUCAAGCAGACUCCUAGCCAGUCUCCUGGCCUCCACUCUGACCUAUUCAGCUCUAAAGGAAAUCACAGAGAACCUGGAAUGUCCACUACCUUUGAGGUCAUGAUCCCAGCGUCAUGGGAAUGAGCCCUGUGUCAGGCUCUGAGCUGAGCGGAGCCUGCUUAAGAUGAUAUCUCUCUCUUUCCCUAUGUCCCUCUCCCCCAUUUGCACCCAAUCUCUCUAAAAAAAAAAGUCAGAUAUUAUAGCUUGCUUAUAACUAUCGAUGAUCAAUAUUUGAAUUUUAUAUCACUAGUGA